AGAACGAACGCUGGCGGCAGGCUUAACACAUGCAAGUCGAACGCGUGUAGCAAUACACGAGUGGCGCACGGGUGAGUAACGCGUGGAUAUCUGCCUUUUGGUUCGGAAUAACCCCGGGAAACUGGGGCUAAUACCGGAUGGUUCCUACGGGAUAAAGAUUUAUCGCCAAAAGAUGAGUCCGCGUACGAUUAGCUAGUUGGUGAGGUAAUGGCUCACCAAGGCGACGAUCGUUAGCUGGUCUGAGAGGACGAUCAGCCACACUGGGACUGAGACACGGCCCAGACUCCUACGGGAGGCAGCAGUGGGGAAUAUUGGACAAUGGGGGCAACCCUGAUCCAGCCAUGCCGCGUGAGUGAUGAAGGCCUUCGGGUUGUAAAGCUCUUUGGCGGGGACGAUGAUGACGGUACCCGCAGAAUAAGCCCGGCUAACUUCGCGCCAGCAGCCGC
rnacentral:rRNA from 1 species